rnacentral:rRNA from 1 species
GACGAACGCUGGCGGCGUGCUUAACACAUGCAAGUCGAGCGGAAAGGCCCUUCGGGGUACUCGAGCGGCGAACGGGUGAGUAACACGUGAGUAAUCUGCCCUUCACUCUGGGAUAGCCACCGGAAACGGUGAUUAAUACCGGAUACGACCACUGUGGGCAUCCACUGGUGGUGGAAACUUUUUUGGGUGGGGGAUGUGCUCGCGGCCUAUCAGCUUGUUGGUGGGGUAAUGGCCUACCAAGGCUUCGACGGGUAGCCGGCCUGAGAGGGUGACCGGCCACACGGGGACUGAGACACGGCCCAGAGUCCUACGGGAGGCAGCAGUGGGGAAUAUUGGACAAUGGGCGGAAGCCUGAUCCAGCAACGCCGCGUGAGGGAUGACGGCCUUCGGGUUGUAAACCUCUUUCAGCACCGACGAAGCGCAAGUGACGGUAGGUGCAGAAGAAGGACCGGCCAACUACGUGCCAGCCGCCGCAGUAAAAC